AUACUUACCUAGCAGGGGAGAUUUUAUGAUCAGGAAGGUGGUUUCCCCAGGGUGAGGCUCGCCCAUUGCACUUGUGAUGAGGUGACCCCUGCGAUUUCUCCAAAUGUGGGAAAAUCGACUACAUAAGUUAUGGUAGUGGGGGACUGCAUGCACAAUCCCCCC